rnacentral:lncRNA from 1 species
UUGAGGAAUCACCACACUGUCUUCCACAAUGGUUGAACUAGCUUUUAUGCAUUGCAAAGUGACUACACAAAGUGACCUAUCCCUUGUCUCCUUUAUCUCUCUAGCAACCCUCCAGUUAUUAGGGCAGCUACUACUCUCAUCUUCCAUAUAAGAAGUGGGAACACUUUCAUGGAUGUUCUGGGACUCACAGUCCAAGUCCUGGUUCUUAGAGAGUUGGAUCCAGAUCCUGUGUCUUGUAGGUAUAUAGGUAUAUGUUUAUGCAUUGAAAUGAAAUAUGUACAACUAGGUCCUUCCCCGUCUCCCCUAUAAAGCCUAUAAAGUCUUCUAUGAAACAAAGUUAAUUCCAUUCUCAGACAGAGGCUCCCAGAAUCCAGUGUUUUGGUUGGUCUCCGCUACAAAUGCUUUUUCUGAUAUUUGUGUGUUUGCAAGUCCCUCUCUGAGACUUUCUAAAAUUUGAUUGUUAAUUGGCUGUUAUAUGCAUGAAGUUCUGGACUUGGUGUCCCAAGCUCUUUAUAGAUUUACUUUUUUUCUCCCCCUCCUGCCAUUAAAUAAUCACCCUUGAGCUUCUCUCAACUUACUCUCCAUCAAUAACCAUUGUAUUCGUUCCAUUACAGCCCUCCUAAAUACAAAACAAUGACGACAACAACAAACCAUUCAAACUUCCAACCAACUUCCCCUGAAGGCACAGAAGGUGAGACCUAAGGGAAAAGAAAUCCACCCUCUUUAACAUCAGCUAACAGCAUAGGAGUAAAUGCCUGGUACAGAGCCCAGAAUUCCUAUUUCACAUUCUGAUUUGGCACUUUCACCAUAAUGGGAAAAUCUCCUCUACUUUUCCUGUGAAGCUGUUUCUUCUCCUUCUGGAAGAUAACAGCAGGAUGAUAGAGGAGGUCAAAGGAUAAAGAGAAAGGAUGCAGCCUAUUUCUUCAUUUAUUUGACCAAUAAUGUUUGAAAAUGAUGAAGUCCUUGUCCUCAAGAAACUAACAGCCUGGGGUGAAGGGUGCAGGUGGGACAGAUGUAAAAACAAUUUCAGAUGCAGACGCUACAUGUGAUUAUCAAAGUCUGUAGAGUGGCUCAUGCCUGUAAUCCCAGCACUUUAGGAGGCUAAGGCAGGCAGAUCACCUGAGGUCAGGAGUUCGAGACCAGCCUGGCCAACAUGGUAAAACCCCAUCUUUACUAAAAAUACAAAAAAAUAGCCAGGCGUGGUGGCAGUCACCUGUAAUCCCAGCUACUCGGGAGGCUGAGGCAGGAGAAUCACUUGAACCGGAGAGGCAGAGGUUGUGGUGAGCUGAGAUCGCGCCACUGCACUCCAGCCUGGGCAACAAGAGUGAGACUUCAUCUCAAAAAAAAAAAAAAAAAAAAAAAAGUCUGUAAAGAAGAGGUCAUAAAGUAGGGUAGUAGUUUUUUAAAAUAUAUAUCUUCCUUUUCUCUACUUAUCAUGCUCAUGCUUUUCUCUACUUUCUUGAAAAAAAUGGAAUGUAUUUUUUAAACUGUGUUGACUUUCUGGUCUGCUGAUUAUAUUAUUUGUCGUUUGUGGGUCUAUUUUCUAUUGAUUGAUUUGCCUACUCUACACUGGACAGGGGGAUCCAGGAAGCCUUCAUAGGAGAAAUAACCCCAAUAAGGGGAAGUGUCCUCCAGGCAGCAAAACAGCACACGAGAGUAGGGUAGAGUGCAAUAGAACAGCUCAGGGAGCCUGAGAAAUUCCGUGGCACUGGAAGCUGGGUUAUGAAGGGGAUAUGUUUAAGGGCUAAGUCUGGAGAGGCAGGCAAUGGCUCAGAUGGUGAAGAAUGUGAUCUGUCAGGUAAGCAGGCAGAACUCAUCCUAUAGAAGGUAAAGAGCCUCUGGAGCGAUCUAAAGGAGAAAGUGUCUUUUGUUUUAAAUGCUCACUAGCUGCAGAGUAGAGAAUGGAUUGAGAGAGGUGAGCCUGAAGAAAGGCCACUUAAGAAGCUAUUAUGGUGGUUAAGGUGAGAGAUGAAAGUAGCCCGGAAAAGAUCAGAUUCAAUGGGGUUGAAGAAAAGUGGAUGAAUUUGAUAGACUUUUAGAAGGGAGAAUCUAAUAUGAUAGAAAAUAUGAGGGUGAUUUCUGGCCCUUCACAGGAGAAAGAGGCUGAAAGAGAGGAACGGAGUGAGGAGAGAUUAUGAAAUGAGUUAGGAUGGGUGGGGUGUAUCCUCUGGGGUUCCCAUGCCAAAUUUCCUUCAGGUGACCAGUUUUACCUUUCUCCCUGCCACCUUCAUCCCUGCCUGGUCAUUAAGGAUGGACAUGCCACUUGUCUUUGCUGGACCUUAAUUUCCAUCCAUGAAAUGAAGGGACUGGGAUUGAGCCCUUCCCUCUUCUCCCAGGCUGGGCUGAGCUCUCCCUUCUCUGAGUCUUGCAGUAUCUGUCUCAGUCUUACACUACUAAGCUUUUGCUGCCCAGUAUCUGCAUUCUGUUUCCCCAAGAAGAGUUGAAGUUCUUGGAGGGGAGGGCACCUUAAGCCACUCGGUAUCCUCUACCAGCUGCUUGCAAAGGCUUCUUCAAACCUGAGAGGCCAGUCUUCCUGGGUAUGGAAGACUAGUCUUCAGGUUGCUUCUGGCUAUCCCCAACAUCCUUACUCUCCAGAACUUUCAGAUGCUGGGUCCAGGGCCCAUUUCACUGAGCCCUCUGCAGCUGGAAUUUAUCUUGCCCCAGAGCCCAGCUGAACAGCACUGGGGGUGGGAGAUGUAAGCUGAUGGGAGAGAAACAUGGCAGGAAUCCUGGUUCUAGGAGAGUUGGAUCCAGAUCCUGUGUCUCGUAGGGAUGUAUGUGUGUGUUUAUGUGUAUAUGUAUGCGUGCAUGUGCAGACAUAUGUGUGUGCACGUAUGACACAUUGGAGUGUCUCUGUGGGUUUUUUUUCUGUAUUAAGUUAUAUGUGAAGUUCCAUUGGUGUGUCUGCACUAAAUCAUGAUGCAUAAGUCAGCGCACACAUCUCAACAUCUGUGAGGUUGAUAUGUGUGUCUGUUAGAAUGUGUGUGUUGGUGUGGAUAGACGCCUCUGGGUAUACAGGCCUGUGUGGGGGGCUAAGUGGGCAUGUGUGUUUGUGGUUUGCCUGUGAGUGCCUCUAUGUGAGUUUGUGUUCUGCCAGGAUUGGGAACAUUCCUAGGGAAGGGAUUGUGUCUAAUUAAUUAUUGUACCCAGGCCCUUGGACCCGGGACAUAAAAACUGCUAAGCAAAUUUGUGUUGACUGAAUGAAUGAAUGAAGUGGACUGGACAUUCAGAGAUUGUUAUUCAGACAACAUGCCCAUUUGUAGAAAACAAAAAGGUGUAAAUAGCUAGCUAGCUAGAUGAUAAUUGAGUAGGGAGGUAUGUAGACGAUAGGUAGAUAGGAGGUAGAUGAUGAUAGAUAGAUAGAUACAUACAUACAUAGAUAGAUACAUAGAUAGAUACAUGGAUAGAUAGAUGACAGGUAGCUAGACAGAUAGACAGCUGAGAUUGGCUCUAAGUGGAAUCCUAUGUACUUUCUCCUGGAAGUUAUAUUAGAGUUCAUAUGUCUCAGGGUGCUCCAAAACAUCGGCUCUGGCAGCUCUGUGAGUUAUUAUGGAGUUGCUUUGAGGGCCUUCAGAGGAAGGAAUCACAGAAUGGGAGAGCUAAGCUCCCCACCUGACAUCAACAAGAAUCUAUUUGCUUUUAAUCUCUGGUUGUCCAAGUCGAAUUGUAAAGUUUCACUACUAUAAAUUUUUGAAAAUCUUGUUACAGACCAACCCCUUUUAUUCUACAGAAGGGAGCAGCUGAGCCUCAGAGAGGGGAGAAGGUUAGAACCUGACCUCUCUUUCAGGCCUGUUUCUACCAUGCCACCUGCCUUGGGAUGUAGUAAGUAUGACUCCGCUAACUCACUGGGAAACAGAAUGCAAUUCUUCUCAGGAACCCGUCUUUUAGAGAAGCCACUAUCAUAGUGGCCCUUGGGAUGUCUGUCCAAGAAAUGACCCCAUUUGUGUCAGACCUGCCCCAUUAGGUCAGCCCCUUUGGCUAUGUGCUAGAUGGUCCCAGUCCCCUGGCCCAGACUACUGGACCCUGACCCAAGCAGCAAAAUCAAAUUCCCUGAUGCAAUUUGGAGGUGGGAUAGCAACAUGCUAACCAGUCUCUGUUGGUCCCUGAAUUAGGAAGUGAUGUGAAGCUAGAAUGUCCAUAUUUAAUCAAGGGAUGAGUGAACAGGAAAAGCUGGCUUCAGAGACAUAAAAAGA